GGGGCUGUAGCUCGGUGGUAAAGUGCUCGCCUGGCAGGUGUGAGGCACUGGGUUUGAUCCUCAGCACCACA
rnacentral:tRNA from 1 species